CACGUAGGCACCAAGCGUUGUCCGGAUUUAUUGGGCGUAAAGAGCUCGUAGGCGGUUCAGUAAGUCGGGUGUGAAAACUCUGGGCUCAACCCAGAGACGCCACCCGAUACUGCUGUGACUUGAGUACGGUAGGGGAGUGGGGAAUUCCUGGUGUAGCGGUGAAAUGCGCAGAGAUGUGGAGGAAUACCGAUGGCGAAGGCAGCCCCCUGGGAUAACACUGACGCUCAUGCACGAAAGCGUGGGGAGCAAACAGG
rnacentral:rRNA from 1 species